UACAGAGGGUGCAAACGUUGCUCGGAAUCAUUGGGCGUAAAGCGCACGUAGGCGGGUCUUUAAGUCAGGGGUGAAAUCCUGGAGCUCAACUCCAGAACUGCCUUUGAUACUGAAGAUCUUGAGUUCGGGAGAGGUGAGUGGAACUGCGAGUGUAGAGGUGAAAUUCGUAGAUAUUCGCAAGAACACCAGUGGCGAAGGCGGCUCACUGGCCCGGUACUGACGCUGAGGUGCGAAAGCGUGGGGAGCAAACAGG
rnacentral:rRNA from 1 species